rnacentral:rRNA from 1 species
UACGAAAGGUGCAAGCGUUGUUCGGAUUUACUGGGCGUAAAGAGAUCGUAGGUGGUUUGUUAAGUCGGAUGUGAAAUCCCGGGGCUCAACCCCGGAACUGCAUUCGAUACUGGCAGGCUAGAGUUUGGGAGGGGUAAGCGGAAUUCCGUGUGUAGCAGUGAAAUGCGUAGAUAUACGGAGGAACACCUGAGGCGAAGGCGGCUUACUGGACCAAUACUGACACUGAGGAUCGAAAGCGUGGGUAGCAAACAGG